GGAGACUCUGUGCGCGUGCAUAUCAAUAAGCGGAGGAAAAGAAACUAACAAGGAUUCCCUUAGUAACGGCGAGUGAAGCGGGAAGAGCUCAAAUUUGAAAUCUUCAAGGUUUUACCUUGACGAAUUGUAGUUUAAAGAAGUGUUUUCUGUUGAAGUUUUGGUAAAAGUUCUUUGGAAUAGGACAUCAUAGAGGGUGAGAAUUCCGUAUUUGACCAUUAUUUUCAGCUGUGUGAUACACUUUCAAAGAGUCGGAUUGUUUGGGAAUGCAGUCCAAAAUGGGUGGUAAAUUUCAUCUAAAGCUAAAUAUUGGCGAGAGACCGAUAGCGAACAAGUACCGUGAGGGAAAGAUGAAAAGAACUUUGAAAAGAGAGUUAAACAGUACGUGAAAUUGUCAAAAGGGAAGCGUUUGACACCAGUGUUGUUUUUCCGAAAAUCAAUUACGAAUGGCUUGAUUUUGUGUUGUAUUGACCUUAUCAGCUUUCUUCACUUUUUUCGAGUCUUUCUUAAUGCACUUUUCGGUUAACAAGUCAACAUCAAUUUCUUUUGUUGUAAAAGAGUAUUCGGAAGGUGGCUUUCUUUUCGGAGAAAGUGUUUAUAGCCCUAUACUUCUACAAUCGGAGAGAUUGAGGUCUGCAGCGUAGAUCCUUCGGGGUUAGAUACACUUGUGCUAAGUUGUAGCUUUUCAUAGACAACUUGUUGACUAUGUUUAGUCAUGCGGCUUACUCGCUUGUGCUAUUUUACCUACGCUUAGGAUGUUGACUGAUAUGUAGUCGUA
rnacentral:rRNA from 1 species